CAGCAGCCGCGGUAAUACGUAGGUGGCAAGCGUUGUCCGGAAUUAUUGGGCGUAAAGGGCUCGCAGGCGGUUUCUUAAGUCUGAUGUGAAAGCCCCCGGCUCAACCGGGGAGGGUCAUUGGAAACUGGGAAACUUGAGUGCAGAAGAGGAGAGUGGAAUUCCACGUGUAGCGGUGAAAUGCGUAGAGAUGCGGAGGAACACCAGUGGCGAAGGCGACUCUCUGGUCUGUAACUGACGCUGAGGAGCGAAAGCGUGGGGAGCGAACAGGAUUAGAUACCCGGGUAGUCCCUGUCUCUUAUAC
rnacentral:rRNA from 1 species